UACGUAGGUGGCGAGCGUUGUCCGGAUUUAUUGGGUUUAAAGGGAGCGCAGGCUGCCUGUUAAGCGUGACGUGAAAUGCCGCGGCUCAACCGUGGAAGUGCGUCGCGAACUGGCGGGCUUGAGUGUGCACGAGGAAGGCGGAAUUCGUGGUGUAGCGGUGAAAUGCUUAGAUAUCACGAAGAACUCCGAUUGCGAAGGCAGCCUUCCAGGUCAUUACUGACGCUAAUGCUCGAAGGUGCGGGUAUCGAAC
rnacentral:rRNA from 1 species